UACAGAGGUCUCAAGCGUUUGUUCGGAUUCAUUGGGCGUAAAGGGUGUGUAGGUGGCGCCGUAAGUCGGGUGUGAAAUUUCGGAGCUUAACUCCGAAACUGCAUUCGAUACUGCGGUGCUUGAGGACUGGAGAGGAGACUGGAAUUCAUGGUGUAGCAGUGAAAUGCGUAGAGAUCAUGAGGAAGACCAGUGGCGAAGGCGGGUCUCUGGACAGUUCCUGACGCUGAGGCACGAAGGCCAGGGGGAGCAAAACGGG
rnacentral:rRNA from 1 species